UACGGGGGGGGGCGAGCGUUGUUCGGAAUUAUUGGGCGUAAAGGGCGCGUAGGCGGUGUGGUAAGUCUGAUGUGAAAACUCCAGGCUCAACUUGGAGAUUGCAUCAGAAACUGCCGUGCUAGAGUGUGGGAGAGGAGAGUGGAAUUCCUGGUGUAGCGGUGAAAUGCGUAGAUAGUCAGGGAGGAACACCGGUGGCGAAGGCGGCUCUCU
rnacentral:rRNA from 1 species